rnacentral:misc_RNA from 1 species
GAUGAAGAACGUAGCGAAAUGCGAUAAGUAAUGUGAAUUACAGAAUUCAGUGAAUCAUCGAAUCUUUGAACGCACAUUGCGCCCGCCAGUAUUCCGGGGGGCAUGCCUGUCCGAGCGUCAUUACAACCCUCAAGCUCAGCUUGGUGUUGGGCCCCGCCGCCCCGGCGGGCCCUAAAGUCAGUGGCGGUGCCGUCCGGCUCCGAGCGUAGUAAUUCUUCUCGCUCUGGAGGUCCGGUCGUGUGCUCGCCAGCAACCCCCAAUUUUUUUCAGGUUGACCUCGGAUCAGGUAGGGAUACCCGCUGAACUUAAGCAUAUCAAUAAGCGGAGGA